CGGGAUGUAGCGUAGCUUGGUAUCGCGUCUGCUUUGGGAGCAGAAGGCCGCAGGUUCAAAUCCUGUCAUCCCGACCA
rnacentral:tRNA from 2 species